rnacentral:lncRNA from 1 species
AUCUAAAGGAAAUGCUGAAUAUAACAAAACUGCAACAGUGAAUAACAUUUUCUGAAUGAAACCAAAGCAUUUCCUUUUAGCUCUGUUCAGUACCGAUGUAUGUCUCCCUGACAUGAUCUUGAUACCUCACAAAAGCUGGAGAUUAGAUGUUUUCCAUUAUUAAUUUUUUGCUAUGGACAGAUUUUCUGAGUGUGCCACAAGGUAUACAUCACCCAUCAUACGAAUCCCCAGACAUAAGGGUUAAAAGAGAAGAAAAUUAGCAGCUCAAGUUCCAGUUCCCAGAGUGAAGAGGAACCCAGAUUUCACCAACUCAUUGCUCUUCAUCAUCCUGGUCUCUCCCUUUGAUUCAGACCUUGUGCUUGCUGCUUUCUUGCUGGCUCCUUUCCUCUCUCCCUGAAACAUGUUCUCUCUCUUUACAGUCUUUUUUUCACUUUUUCUGGGUGUGAUCAUGAUUCAUGAA